rnacentral:rRNA from 1 species
UGGGGAAUUUUGGACAAUGGGCGCAAGCCUGAUCCAGCAAUGCCGCGUGCAGGAUGAAGGCCUUCGGGUUGUAAACUGCUUUUGUACGGAGCGAAAAGGUCUGCCCUAAUACGGUGGGCUCAUGACGGUACCGUAAGAAUAAGCACCGGCUAACUACGUGCCAGCAGCCGCGGUAAUACGUAGGGUGCGAGCGUUAAUCGGAAUUACUGGGCGUAAAGCGUGCGCAGGCGGUUAUGUAAGACAGAUGUGAAAUCCCCGGGCUCAACCUGGGAACUGCGUUUGUGACUGCAUAACUAGAGUACGGCAGAGGGAGGUGGAAUUCCACGUGUAGCAGUGAAAUGCGUAGAGAUGCGGAGGAACACCGAUGGCGAAGGCAAUCCCCUGGACCUGUACUGACGCUCAUGCACGAAAGCGUGGGGAGCAAACA